CUCCCGGUGGCCAAGCUGGUUUAAGGCGCGAGACUGUAAUGUUAUCUUGAGAUCGGGCGUUCGACUCGCCCCCGGGAGA
rnacentral:tRNA from 2 species